rnacentral:rRNA from 1 species
AGGCAGCAGUGAGGAAUUUUGCGCAAUGGGGGAAACCCUGACGCAGCAACGCCGCGUGAGUGAUGAAGGCUUUCGGGUCGUAAAGCUCUGUCAAGUGGGAAGAAACCAUAUGGUGUUAAUACCGCCAUGUGCUGACGGUACCACUGAAGGAAGCACCGGCUAACUCCGUGCCAGCAGCCGCGGUAAUACGGGGGGUGCGAGCGUUAUUCGAAAUUACUGGGCGUAAAGAGCGCGUAGGCGGUCUUUUAAGUCAGGUGUGAAAGCCCGGGGCUCAACCCCGGAAGUGCACUUGAAACUAAGAGACUUGAGUAUGGGAGAGGGAAGUGGAAUUCCUGGUGUAGCGGUGAAAUGCGUAGAUAUCAGGAGGAACAUCGGUGGCGAAGGCGACUUCCUGGACCAAUACUGACGCUGAGGCGCGAAGGCGUGGGGAGCAAACAGGAUUAGAUACCCUGGCAGUCCACGCAGUAAACGGUGAACACUAGGUGUAGCGGGUAUUGACCCCUGCUGUGCCGCAGCAAACGCAUUAAGUGUUCCGCCUGGGGAGUACGGCCGCAAGGUUAAAACUCAAAUGAAUUGACGG